CACGUAGGGGACGAGCGUUGUCCGGAUUCAUUGGGCGUAAAGCGCGCGUAGGCGGCUCGGAAAGUCGGUCGUGAAAUGCCGGGGCUCAACCCCGGGACUGCGUCCGAUACUUCCGGGCUGGAGGUAGGUAGGGGAGAUCGGAAUUCCUGGUGUAGCGGUGAAAUGCGCAGAUAUCAGGAAGAACACCAAUGGCGAAAGCAGCUCUCUGGGACGGUACUGACGCUGAGACGCGAAAGCGUGGGGAGCGAACAGG
rnacentral:rRNA from 1 species